GUGCAUUUGUUUCUGUUUCAUGCAGUCGAGGGGUAGCAGGAGUAGCUUGCUAUUUGCUGACGACCGGCGCACGGGUGCGUAACGCGUAUAGAAUCUACCUUAUACUGGGGGAUAGCCUUUGGAAACGAAGAUUAAUACCCCAUAGUAUUAUUUUUUGGCAUCAUUAAAUAAUUAAAGUUUCGGCGGUAUAAGAUGACUAUGCGUUCUAUUAGUUAGUUGGUAAGGUAACGGCUUACCAAGACUUCGAUAGAUAGGGGUCCUGAGAGGGAGAUCCCCCACACUGGUACUGAGACACGGACCAGACUCCUACGGGAGGCAGCAGUGAGGAAUAUUGGACAAUGGAGGCAACUCUGAUCCAGCCAUGCCGCGUGUAGGAAGACUGCCCUAUGGGUUGUAAACUACUUUUAUAUGGGAAGAAUAAGGUCUACGUGUAGAUCGAUGACGGUACCAUAAGAAUAAGCACCGGCUAACUCCGUGCCAGCAGCCGCGGUAAUACGGAGGGUGCAAGCGUUAUCCGGAAUCAUUGGGUUUAAAGGGUCCGUAGGCGGGCAUAUAAGUCAGUGGUGAAAGUCUGUGGCUCAACCAUAGAAUUGCCAUUGAUACUGUAUGUCUUGAAUUAUUGUGAAGUGGUUAGAAUAUGUAGUGUAGCG
rnacentral:rRNA from 1 species